GAAUCCUCUUUAUUUCGAAGUUAGCCACAACCGCAGAGAGGACCAAGGCAUCGUCAUGAGGAUAUGAUAUUCCUUCCAAAUCUCUUGCUCCAAAGGUGAUGUCUUUGACUUCAUCACGGGAUUUCCUUGGGAUAUGAGCAUGUUGGCGGGCAUACUGCUUUCGCCCACUAUUUGUGUCUCCUCCAGAUGCUAUGCCCCCAACGAUAAUAUUAAUGGUCCCGACAGUAGGUUGAACACUGCUUCAGGCUCCAGGCUCUUUUCGAUUGUCACGGUC
rnacentral:lncRNA from 1 species